CCUACGGGUGGCAGCAGUGAGGAAUAUUGGUCAAUGGGCUUACGCCUGAACCAGCCAAGUCGCGUGAGGGAAGACUGCCCUAUGGGUUGUAAACCUCUUUUGUCAGGGAGCAAUUGGCGCUACGUGUAGCGUUAUCGAGAGUACCUGACUAAGAAGCCCCGGCUAACUACGUGUCAGCAGCCGCGGUAAUACGUAGGGGGCGAGCGUUAUCCGGAUUCACUGGGUGUAAAGGGAGCGUAGACGGCCAAGCAAGCCAGGGGUGAAAGCCCGGGGCCCAACCCCGGGACUGCCCUUGGAACUGCAUGGCUGGAGUGCGGGAGGGGCAGGCGGAAUUCCUGGUGUAGCGGUGAAAUGCGUAGAUAUCAGGAGGAACACCGGCGGCGAAGGCGGCCUGCUGGACCGCGACUGACGUUGAGGCUCGAAAGCGUGGGGAGCGAACAGGAUUAGAUACCCUAGUAGUC
rnacentral:rRNA from 1 species